rnacentral:rRNA from 1 species
AGAGUUUGAUCCUGGCUCAGGAUGAACGCUAGCUACAGGCUUAACACAUGCAAGUCGAGGGGAAACGACAUCGAAAGCUUGCUUUUGAUGGGCGUCGACCGGCGCACGGGUGAGUAACGCGUAUCCAACCUGCCCACCACUUGGGGAUAACCUUGCGAAGGUAAGACUAAUACCCAAUGAUAUCUCUAGAAGGCAUCUGAAAGAGAUUAAAGAUUUAUCGGUGAUGGAUGGGGAUGCGUCUGAUUAGCUUGUUGGCGGGGUAACGGCCACCAAAGCAACGAUCAGUAGGGGUUCUGAGAGGAAGGUCCCCCACAUUGGAGCUGAGACACGGUCCAAACUCCUACGGGAGCA